CCUAGGGGAGGCAGCAGUGGGGAAUAUUGCACAAUGGGCGCAAGCCUGAUGCAGCCAUGCCGCGUGUGUGAAGAAGGCCUUCGGGUUGUAAAGCACUUUCAGCGGGGAGGAAGGCGUUAAGGUUAAUAACCUUGGCGAUUGACGUUACCCGCAGAAGAAGCACCGGCUAACUCCGUGCCAGCAGCCGCGGUAAUACGGAGGGUGCAAGCGUUAAUCGGAAUUACUGGGCGUAAAGCGCACGCAGGUGGUCUGUCAAGUCGGAUGUGAAAUCCCCGGGCUCAACCUGGGAACUGCAUUCGAAACUGGCAGGCUAGAGUCUUGUAGAGGGGGGUAGAAUUCCAGGUGUAGCGGUGAAAUGCGUAGAGAUCUGGAGGAAUACCGGUGGCGAAGGCGGCCCCCUGGACAAAGACUGACGCUCAGGUGCGAAAGCGUGGGGAGCAAACAGGAUUAGAUACCCGAGUAGUC
rnacentral:rRNA from 1 species